rnacentral:rRNA from 1 species
CAAUAGCGUAUAUUUAAGUUGUUGCAGUUAAAAAGCUCGUAGUUGGAUUUCGGAUGGGACUUGCCGGUCCGUCGUUUCGAUGUACACUGGCCAGUCCUAUCUUGUUGUCGGGGACUAGCUCCUGGGCUUCACUGUCCGGGACUAGGAGCUGACGAGGUUACUUUGAGUAAAUUAGAGUGUUCAAAGCAAGCCUACGCUCUGAAUACAUUAGCAUGGAAUAACACGAUAGGACUCUGGCUUAUCUUGUUGGUCUGUGAGACCAGAGUAAUGAUUAAGAGGGACAGUCGGGGGCAUUCGUAUUUCAUUGUCAGAGGUGAAAUUCUUGGAUUUAUGAAAGACGAACUUCUGCGAAAGCAUUUGUCAAGGAUGUUUUCAUUAA